CAGGGCAAAAGUGCAACAGGAGAAUUUUCUCCAUCUAUGACGCUGUUAGAAACAAGCUGUCAAAAGAUGCUCAAAGUGUUAUACUUUCCUUCGAUCCUUUGUUGCACCUGAGCUUUAUUCCUUCCUUGCAGGACACAAGUAAAUAUUGGCAUCUCCAGUACGAAAGCCACCCAGAUUCUUCUUUCACACAAGGUUUGUAAAGCCAGUGGAAAACCGAAAACGCAGGGAAAAGUAUCGAUCUGAUGUACUCAAAGAAAAUACUUUUCUUCUUAGCACGCCAUAAAGGUUAAGAGUGAUAAGACGGUAUUUACCAAGACAUGCAAACAAGUUUUGACGCCAGUGAAAUAACAAGGAAAGACACAGCAGACAUGCAUAUCAAUGAGAAUCAAACUUGUAAUUUACCUUUCCAAAAUCUGAAAUGGAUUUAGAACUUAUAAGCUUACCAAGCCUUGUAUGCUGACUAAUUUUGUUUAGCUUCAGAACCUUCAAACAUUACUAAUUUACUUUUCCAAGUUUUCCCAGUCCAGAGUUGGCUUCAGAACCUCCGAACCAUCGGCCAUCGGCAAAUUUUGUUUAGCAGUAUUUUUG
rnacentral:lncRNA from 1 species